UUCAGAGGUCUCGAGCGUUGUUCGGAUUUACUGGGCGUAAAGGGAGCGUAGGCGGCCGGGUGUGUCGAAUGUGAAAGCCCACAACUCAACUGUGGAACGGCAUUCGAAACUACCUGGCUAGAGUACUGGAGAGGAGAGCGGAAUUCUUGGUGUAGCGGUGAAAUGCGUAGAUAUCAGGAGGAACACCAAUGGCGAGGGCAGGUCUCUGGGCAGUUACUGACGCUGAGGAGCGAAAGCAUGGGUAGCGAACAGGAUUAGA
rnacentral:rRNA from 1 species